UUUUUUUAUGACAAGGGAAACCCGCAACUGCUACCCUUUGGGUGCGCACAGGGUAAAACCUCUGCUCCUAUGCAAUAGCUCGCAAACUACACAGGAGAGGUAACCUGCACUAGGUAAGCCCGGUGCGACGAGCUCGACCCAAAAGGCAAACCCCUUGCUUUCGCUGGCUGGCAAGGGGUUUCGAACUUGAGACCUCCAACAUGGAAGUUCCAAGCCCAAACCACUGGGCCACCCCAAAGGGUAAUUUUACAUGGUAUCAAAGCCAGGUACACCCCGGUAUGGGCUCUCCAUCCACGCUGCCAUUGGGCCUGGCGUGAAAGCAGUGUUUAAGUGGGUAAAGUCCCACAAGGUUGGGGAUAUGGAUUUGCGCAAUCCUCCACUCCUAACCCAACUUUUGAGCUUGUUAGGCUAAGGUGACAUAUCUUUACAUGGUAUUAGAGCAUCGUUCUAAUUACUUUUGCUCAGAAUAUUGAUCGUAAGUUAGAUAUGGUACAAAGGAGGUACCUGGGGCUUCGGAUUUCAAUCUCACAAUCGUUCUAGAGAGGACCGUCUCAUCACGAUCUAUAGAACCGGUGGUCGGCAGAUAAGCGUCGAGUCUCACGCGUCGGAAUACUACUUCUGGCAGUUUCUGUGUUGGACGUGAGUAUGGCUUCCGAACAGACCAGGUUUCCAGUAACACCAUCACCUUGAUAUUUUCGAUCAAAAGUUGGUGGUCUCGUGUUCAACAGACCUCGGUUGGAAAGGUUUCAAAACACUCCAGGUUUCGUCAACUUGGUUUUCUUUGGGCCAAAUCACUUGAUGUCUUAUAUGUUGAUUUUGGUGUCUGGUUACUUCUGAAUCUCCAUCUUCUUGGUAGAAUUUCACUGUGAGUCUCUAGAUUGUUGACUGUUUAUUCUUAGUGAAGAAUUAUAUGUUGAUUGGGUCCAGCAAGUUCUAUGAAUUGUUGAGCUUUUGGAGAUCUAUUGAGGUAUUUCUAUUUGGUGCAAUUUCGUUGGUUUCCAAUUAUUGGUAAGGUUAUAGAGAACUGUUGGGGUAUUUCUGGUUAGUGCAAUUUUGCUGGUUUCCUCACUCCGUUAAUUUGUUUGGAAAAUGACUGAUGUGAUAAAAUAACUCAAAGUUCUAAAGUUGUUGCUUCUGACAACAUGAUUUGGUUCGAAGAGCAAUUUCCUAAUUUAUCUCAAUAUCAGAAAUCACGUAAAGAAAUCCAAUACAGGUAAGGCUUUUGCUAAGUUGGAUAAAACGUGUCGUGUCACCUUUUCAAGUCUCAGUCUGUUGCAUGCUCCAGUGUUGUGUCUCCAUUUGAAGCACAUUGUCAAUUGGGACACCCUUCUCUACCUUAGUUAAAGAAGCUAUGCCCUCAAUUUCAGAAUAUUUCUACAUUGGAAUGUGAGUCAUGUCGAUUUGCAAAACAAUAUCACAUUUUGCCAGGUCAAAGGGUUAAUAAUGAGUUUACUCAGUUUUUGAGCUAGUUUUUUUUAAUGUUUUGAUUAAUCGCAUGCCCUCUGGCGUGCUUGCCAAUGGUGCUCCUUAAAAUGUUCUCUUUCCAAACAAGUUACUAUUUUCGAUGGAGCCUAGGGUGUUUGGAAGCACAUGAUAUUCGAGAUGUUCGACCAUUUGUUACCAAGUUGGAGCCCAAGGCAUUGAAGUGCGUUCUCUUGGGCUACUCUUGUCUUCAGAAGAUAUAUCGAUGUUAUUCUACUGAAUUGGCAAAUAUUGAGAGUCAACUAAUGUAGUAUUUUUAGAGACUACACCAUUCUUCUAUACACCUCCCAUUUCUACAAUUCAGGGUGAGGAAGACAAGUGGUUAGUCUAUCAGGUUACCCUUACAAGCUAUAGAACCGAUGGUCGGCAGAUAAGCGUUGAGUCUCACGCGUCGGAGUACUACUUCUAGCAGUUUCUAUGUUGGACGCAUGUAUGGCUUCCGAAUCAGACCAGGUUUCCAGUAACACCAUCGCCUCGAUAUUUUCAAUCAAAAGUUGGUGGUCUCAUGUUCAACAAACCUCGGUUGGAAAGGUUUCAAAACACUCCAGGUUUCGUCAACUUGGUUUUCUUUGGGCCAAAUCACUUGAUGUCUUAUAUGUUGAUUUGGGUGUCUGGUUACUUCUGAAAAAGUAGUCACCAAAAUGAUGGCAUGAUGCUACACAAAUUAGAUAUAGAAAGUAGUCACUAGAAUGAUGGCACAUUGCUACACAAAUUGAAUAUGAAAAAGUAGUCACCUGAAAGAUAGCACGGUGCUACACAAAUACCGACAGAUAUGGGGUUGACACAAAACAGUCCUACAAAGUCAUUGGAAAUUGACUCAUGAUGACCUGUCUGACUAAGUUUACUUCCCCUGAAUAAGGGGUGUGUUCAUGCAUAUACCAUUGAUGUCACUUUUGUUAAAAUAAUUAUUGCCAGACGGGCAGCAUUUAUAUGUAAUAGCCACCCCCUCCGCCCGGCAGCGGAAGCUCUUUGAUUUUCUACCAAGAUCGUAGAGGCUCUGAUAUCAUGUGAGAAAUAUAGGAAAAGAAUAAUAUUAAAUUGUUGUUGUGUCUACAUUAUUACAUUGAGACUAGGGCUGGGCAUAAUAUGGUUAAAACCGAAAAAAUCGACCGAACCGAUUUUUUUAAAAUUUCGGUUUCGGUUUUUCGAUUUUUCGGUUAUUUCGGUCGGUUUCGGUUUUGAUUUUUAAUAUUUCAGUUUUUCGGUUCGGUUUUCGAUUUUUUAGCUUAAAAAAUCGGUUAACCGAAAAAACCGAAAUUAGAUAUAUAUAUUCUUUAGUCUUUACCCCUUCAUUAAAUCCCAGCCCAAUAGCCCAGGCCCAGGCCCAAAUUCCAAUCUGAAUUAGAAAUCCCUAAUCUGAGACCACGUAGUCCAUCAGUUUCAACCCUCGUCUCAAACUCUCAGUUACGCCGCAGCUCCGAGCUCGUCUCUCAACUCUCAUCUCUCAGCUCGUCGUCUCAAGCAUGCCGCUGCUCCUGGCACCUCGCUGACGUUGAUUGCUCGCAGCCCGCAACUAUUGUCUGCUCAGUGCUCGCGACUCCAUAGUCAAAGGUCAGUGCUCACUGCUCAUCGCGGCUUAAGUCUUAACUUCAUCUAGAAAUCUUUAUUAUGUUAUAUUCAAUUUCAAAUACAAGAUGAGUACUUGAGUAGUUAGUAUUGAGGGGUGUACAGUGUACUUGUAACUUGUAACUGUAACAAUUCUUUUUGCAUUUUGCCCAUGAAAAGCACUGAUAUUUUGUUCAUCUUUUGCUCUUAAAUGAAUAAGACCUCAAUUGCUAAUGGAAUAUGUUAAUAUGUUAUGGACUUCCGUGGUUGGGUAGAUAGUAAGAGAAGAAGAGAAACAAAUUGAAUGCCAUCUAAAAUCAGUGUGACGAAUAGAACUUUUGGUAUUCAAGCUUCACAGUCACCAUGGAUGUCUAUUAGAUCUUCAUGUUUUCUUUUUAACAAGAAUCAAUUAUUCAGGCAAAGCUUAUUGACAAAAAUCUCACUGUCCAAAAUUAGUAUCCAUUUACCAUUAGCAUUUACCAGUAACUUCUACAAAUGUCUGAUAGUUUGGACUUUGGCUUUCUUUUGCUUUUAUACACUUUAUCUCUUCUUUUUCGCUGAUAUGAUUUACUGACCAUUGUUUACAUUAUUUUUUUCGAUUGCGAGUCAAUAUCUUAAUACUAUUUUUAUUCCUUGCGGUCCAGGCUUCCUUUUGGCAGCAGCAAAACUACUUUGGGGUUGAUUUGACACCAUUGCACGGAUCUGCUACCAAGGAUACUUUUCCCAGGUCAAUAUCCUAUAUAUUAGGAACUCUUGCUUGGACUGGCUUUAGUGACCAUACUUUUCUUAUCCCUGAUUUCACUUAGACUUGAACAACACUUUUAGAGCUUUCUUUAAUGUUCCAUUUUCCUGCUAUGUGGAGUUCUCUUAUUUAUUAGUUACUUGUACUUUUACAUAUGUAGUAUAUGCUAAAAUAUCCAAUUGUACUAUGGAAUCUUCAGAAUAUAAGGCUGUGUUUCAGUAGUGUUCUGUUAGUUAGGGACUGAUCAGUGAGUUGGCUAGUGAACUGUAAGUCUGUAAUGUACUGCGUGAUUAUUGUUCUUCUGAGUUCUGAACCGCAACUGAACUGCGUGAGUUUAAUCAUUGAAUGCAAGUAUGCAACUUUGUGAUUAUUUGUGUGAUUUGUGAACUGUAAUGUACUGCGUCUUUCUGAUUGUUGUUAUUCUUGUUUUUUUCACUUUUUUACAGAUGACACAAAUUGGAAGUAGGAUAAGUGAAAGUGGAGGUUCAAAUGACAGCAUACCUAACACCUCAUCUCCCAAUGAGGUUGAAGUUGAUGUUGAUACUUCAAAUAAAGAAAAACAUGGAACCUAGAGCUACUUGUUGGAAGCAUUUUGACAAGUUCACUGAUGAAAGUGAAGCUAAGAAAGCCAAAUGCAAGUAUUGUGAGAAACCUUAUGAAGCUUCUACAUCGACUAAUGGUACGUCGGCAAUGAAUAAUCAUAUGAGAAUAUGUCUUAAAUUUCCUCGUGACACCGUAGAUAAAGGUCAAAAUCUAAUUAAUUUUCUACCAUCUUCAACGGGAGCAAAGGAAGGGAUGAUUAGCACUUGGAAAUUUGACCAAGCACAAAGUAGGAGAGCUUUAGCCAAAAUGAUAAUUGUUGACGAGCUACCGUUUAGUUUUGUUGAGAAAGAAGGGUUUUAAAACUUCAUGAGAGUUACAGUGCCACAAUUCAUAUUCCUUCUAGUAGAACCGUGACGAGAGAUUGUUAUGAACUAUACCUUGAAGAAAGACAACUUUUGAAGAAGGUUUUCAAAGAAGCACGUCCAAGAGUUUGUCUUACGACAGAUACUUGGACCUCUAUACAAAAAAUCAACUACAUGUGUUUGACAGCCCACUUUAUAGAUAGAAAUUGGACUUUGCAUAAAAGAAUAAUAAAUUUUUGUCCUAUUUCUAGUCAUAAGGGCGGGGAUAUGGCAGCUUGCAUUACUAAUUGUUUGCUUGAAUGGGGUUUGGAUAAUGUGUUUACUAUUACAGUUGAUAAUGCUAGUUCUAAUGAUGUUACUGUGAAAGAAAUGUCUAAACAAUUGAGUAAUUGGGGAACUAACAUUAUGGAUGGUGACCAUCUUCAUGUGAGGUGUAUGGCACAUAUCCUUAAUCUUAUUGUGCAAGAUGGGUUGAAGGAAAUUGGUAACUCUAUCAAACUAGUGAGACAAGCCGUGAAGUACAUUAAACAAUCUCCCGCAAGACUUAGAAAGUUCAAAGAAUGUUGUGAAUCUCAAUUGAUAACUUGUAAGAAAUCAUUAUGUUUAGAUGUUCCUACUAGGUGGAACUCUACAUAUUCGAUGCUUGAUAUAGCACAACAUUUUGAGCUUGCAUUUGAAAGAUAUAGUUUUUAUGAUAUUGGAUACUUGAAUCAUCUUCGUACCUUUGGUUCUGAUUCUUCUGAAGAUAAAGAUGAAACUAGUGUUGAAGAUGGAACUAGUGUAGAUAUUCUUACAAGUGUUGACUGGAAAAAUGUGAGGUCAAUGGUGAAAUUUCUUGAAACUUUUUAUGUACUUAUUAUGUUAAGAAAUCCUCAAAAAUCUCUUCACAUGUACCAUCUUCACCCACUUCAUCUAACAACUCAUCAAGUAUAUCUAGUGUGAGUGGUUGUGACAACUUUGUAAAUAGAGGAAGAAUGAGAACGAAACAACAAUUUGAGAAGCAUAAAGAAGUUAGUGGAAGUUCAGGUAGUAAAUCAGAAUUGGAAAGAUAUCUUGCUGAAGAUAUUGAGCCAGAUAGUGAUGAAUUUGAUAUAUUAAUGUGGUGGAAAUUUAAUGAGCCGAGAUUUCCUAUUCUCGCGGAGAUGGCUCGUGAUGUGUUAGCCAUUCCCAUUUCAAGUGUCGCAUCAGAAUGUGCAUUCAGCACAGGAGGUCGUGUUCUUGAUCCCUUUAGGAGUUCAUUAACUCCUAAACUUGUGCAAUCUCUUAUUUGUGUUCAAGAUUGGCUUAGAAGUGAGCCUUUUCCAAUCAAUAUUGAGGAAGAUUUAGCGUAUCUUGAGCAACUUGAACUUGGUAAGAAUUUGGUAUUUGUAUUAAUUGUCUUGAAAAUAAUUUUCUUACUAGUGUUUCUUAACAACUAACAAAUUCUUUCAUAUUUUUUUAGAUUUUGCUUGUAGUGGGACUGAAUCUAGUAUUAUUGAUAUAUAGUUGCAACUUGUAAGUUCAACUAUCAACUAGUGAAGCGUGGUAAUGGGUAAGUAAAUAACUUAUUUACACAACUUGUUUGAUAGUUUUAUAUAUUUUAUUAUGAAAUGUAGAUCAUUUGUCUAUUUUCUCGCAGGCACAUCAAUGUUUUGUUAUUUUCUUGGUUGCUAUAUGUUGGAACUUGGAACUUGGGAGUUGUUGCACCGGAUGUUGCACAACAAUGUUUUGUUGGUUUUCUAAAUCUUUUGGUUGCUGCAAAUUGCAAUGCUGCCUACUGCAGCUGGACUUUAGUUUGUAACUAACUCUAUUUUNNNNNNNNNNNNNNNNNNNNNNNNNNNNNNNNNNNNNNNNNNNNNNNNNNNNNNNNNNNNNNNNNNNNNNNNNNNNNNNNNNNNNNNNNNNNNNNNNNNNNNNNNNNNNNNNNNNNNNNNNNNNNNNNNNNNNNNNNNNNNNNNNNNNNNNNNNNNNNNNNNNNNNNNNNNNNNNNNNNNNNNNNNNNNNNNNNNNNNNNNNNNNNNNNUCUUGACUCUUGAUAGUCUUUUUAUUCUUAUUCUCGACUAGUUUGUUAAUGUUGCUGCCUGCUGGACUGCUUGGACAAGAAUUAUCAGUUUUGUUUGAUUAUUUUAGUCAAUGAUAUUGUAAGUUGCAAGUUAAAUGUUUGUUGAAAUUUGUCUGCUCCUUGGCAACAAAUGCUUGCAGGCUGCAGCAACAUUGGUCAAACUGCUUUCCAUUUCUGCUUUUCUGUGAGUUGUGAAAGUAAAAGGCUUGUGAGUUGUGACUUGUGACCUGCUUGUAAAGAGAUGAGAAUAUGCACUUGUUGAGUUCCUGCAGAGAUGAGAAUAUACAAAAGAAUAUGACAAUGUUAAAUACCUGCACUUGCGCUGAAGCCUUUUUUUUUCAAUUCCUGCAUUUCUGAAUCUUUUUUUUCAAUUUACUAAAAUUAUCCAUAUGCCACAGGCCACUGUUAAUUAAAUUUGGUUAAACCGAAAACCAAACCGAAAUAAACCGAACCAAAAUUAUAAUAACCGAACCAAACCGAAUUUAUUUCAGUUUGAUUUGGUUUCACAUUUGGCCAAACCGAAAACCGAAAAACCGAACCGAAAUUUAAAAACCAAACCGAACCGACCGAACGCCCAGCCCUAAUUGAGACCCUAUUUAUAGACACUACAAUACAACCCUUUACUAAGUAGGAUACUCCCUCCGUCCCAUUUUAUGUGGCAACAUUUGACCGGGCACGAAGUUUAAGAAAUAAAAUAAGACUUUGAAAUGUUUACCAAAUUGCCCUUUAAAAAGUAGACUAUUUUUUCUCUCUCCUCAUAAAUAUAUUGGAGUAUUAUUUUAAGAUUAAGUGGGACCAACAAGGAUAAAAGAUGAAUUGUACCUUUAUAAAUUUACCAUAUAAGGAAAUGUGACAUUCUUUUUGGGACUGACCAAAAAGGAAAUGGUGCCACAUAAAAUGGGACGGAGGGAGUACUAUUUACUAAUUCUAUUUCUAUUUCUAUUCCUAUUCUAUUCUAAAUACGAUUGCAUAAACCUAUUCCUAUUCUAAAGUAGGAUUGUAUAUACCUAUUACUAUUCUAACAGAGAGCAAUUUCCUAAUUUAUCCCAAUAUCAGAAAUCAAUUAAAGAAAUCCGAUACAGGUAUUUUGCUAAGUUGAAUAAAACGUGUCAUGUCACCUCUUCAAGUCUCAGUCUGUUGCAUGCUCCAGUGUUGUGUCUCCAUUUGAAGCACAUUGUCAAUUGGGACACCCUUCUCUACAUUAGAUUAAGAAGUUAUGCCCUCAAUUUCAGAAUAUUUCUUCAUUGGAAUGUGAGUCAUGUCGAUUUGCAAAACUCUAUCACAUUUCGUCUGGUCCAAGGGUUAAUAAACGAGUUUACUCAGUUUUUGAGCUAGUUUUUUCUAAUGUUUGGGACCAUGUCCUAUUGUUUCUGAAAUUGAGCAUAAAUAUUUUCACUUUUAUAGAUGAUUUUUUCGAUAACUUAGAUUUACUUUAUAAUAGUCAAUCUGAAGUGUUCACUUACUUUCUUUUUUUUUAUGACAAGGGAAACCCACAGUCGCUACCCUUUGGGUGCGCACAGAGUAAAACCCUCGCUCCUAUGCAAUAGCUCGUAAACCACAUAAGAGAGGUAACCUACACUAGGCAAGCCCGGUGCGACGAGCUCGACCCAGAAGGCAAACCCCUUGCUUUCGCUGGCAAGGGGUUUCAAACUUGAGACCUCCAACAUGGAAGUCCUAAGCCCAAACCACUAGGCCACCCUGAAGGGUAACCAACCUGAAGUGUUUACUUACUUUUCAUCAUUUUGUGCUUAAGUCAAAACUCAAUUUAAUCACGCGUACUUGUUGCAUAAUCUAAGGAGUGAUAAUGCAAAAGAAUAUAUGUCAAAAUUAUUUUGAUCCUACAUGAGACAACAUGGUAUUCUCCAUCAGUCUUCAUGUGUGGAUACACCCUCUCAAAAUGGAGUUCUUGAAAGGAAGAAUAAGCAUUUACUAGAGAACUCGGACACUUUUGUUCCUAUUGAAAGUCCCUAAACAAUUUUGGCAGAUUCCAAUCUCUACAACUUAUAUUUUGAUUAAUCGCAUGCCCUCUGGCGUGCUUCCUGAUGAUGCCCCUUACAAUGUUCUCUUUCCAAACAAGUUACUAUUUUCGAUGGAGCCUAGGGUGUUUAGAAGCACUUGUUAUAUUCGAGAUGUUCGACCAUUUGUUACCAAGUUGGAGCCCAAGGCAUUGAAGUGUGUUUUCUUGGGCUACUCUUGUCUUCAGAAGAUAUAUCGAUGUUAUUCUACUGAAUUUUGGCAAAUAUCUAGUGUCAACUGAUGUAGUAUUUUUAGAGACUACACCAUUCUUCUAUACACCUCCUAUUUCUACAAUUCAGGGAGAGGAAGACGAGUGGUUAGUCUAUCAGGCUACUCACUCAUACAGAAAAAAAGGUUCUCUAUUGAUUCAAAGCAAUCAAAGGACGUUGUUCCUCUAUCUCUUAGUUCUUCUAUUGAGCAUUCCACAUUUGCUCCAUCUUUGUCAGCACGAUGGCCAAUUGUUCAAGUUUACUGAAGAAGUCGAGAAAUCGAUUAUACAUCUCCUACAUCAAUUCCUUCAUCAUCGGAUCCUCCUCCACCAUUACUCUUCGAAAAAGUACACAUCAGUGCAAAUCUACAUAUUCCAUUGUUAAUUUUGUUUCUUAUGACCACUUAUCUUAUGCAUCUAGUUGCUUGAUUUCCUUUAUAGACCUAUCUCAGUACCCAAACAGUGAAGGAAAUCUUGAAUAAUCCUGAAUGACAUGAUGCAAUGCUUGAGGAGAUACAUGCUUUAAAUGAGAAUCACUCAUAGGAUUAGGUGGAUUUACCCAAAGGAAAGAAGACGAUAGGAUGCAAGUGGGUUUUUGCAGUCAGUUAGUCUUGAUAGCUCUAUCGCAAGACUUAAGGCGAGACUUGUGGCUAAAGUCUAUACUCAGACUUAAGGGGUGGAUUAUUUCUCCUCAAUAGCCAAGCUCACCUCUGACCGCUUGUUUAUUUCCUUGGCUACUACUUAGCAUUAUCCCUAACAUCAGUUAAAUAUCAAGAAUGUGUUCCAUCAUGGUGAUCUCUUUGAAGAGGUGCAUAUGAAGCAAACACCUGGUUUUGUUGCUAAGGGGAGUAUGAAAAAGUUUGUUAUCACAAAAAAUCUCGACAUGGUCUAAAGCAGAGUCCUCGGGCUUGGUGUGACAAUCAGGUUGCUCUACACAAUGCCUUAAAUCCAAUGCAUCAUGAGAAAACAAAACAUAUUGAGGUCGAUUAUCACUUUGUCCGUGAGAAGAUUCAAGAGAAUAUGAUUUCUAAUGGCUAUGUGAAGAUAGGAGAGCAAUUGGGUGAUAUUUUCACGAAGGCUUUAAAUGGAACCGGGUGGAAUAUCUUUGUAACAAGUUGGGCAUGAUUAAUAUUUAUGCUCCAACUUGAGGGGGAGUGUUACAUAAUGUAUAUAUGUACAUCUUAAUAUAAUAUACAUACCACGAUCAUAGGUAGAGAUAUUUACGGAUUUUAUGAUUUUAUUUCCUUAGAUAGAUUUGUACUUGUAAAUUUGCAAAUAGCUCACCCUAGGAAAAUACAAGGAGAUUUUCUCCCUUAUCUCUUUAUCUUACAAAUAUCUUUAUUUUAUUAAUUCAAAAUGAUAGAUCAAAUAAAAUAUAUAAAAAGCUUUAAGCAAAUAAAAAAUAAGAAAUUUACAAAAGGAUAUAUAUACACACACUAAACAGGCACCCAAGGGUGUGGCCUAGUGGUCAAUGAAGUGGUUGAGAACCCUGAGGUCUCAAGUUUAGAACUCAGUGGAGACAAAAAAACACUAGGUGAUUCUUUCCAUUUGUUCUAGUCUUGAUGGACAGAGUUACCUGAUACAUGUUGCUGGUAGGAUGGCCCGGACACCACGGUCGUCCAAAAUAUAUAUAUAUUAGGCUGGUACAUGUUGCUAGUAGGAUGGCCUUGACACCACGGUCAUCCAAAAUAUAUAUGCAGGCGUUCAGUUUUUUCCUUUAACCAUCAUUUUGUAAGUACAUCAAAGGUCAAAAUAUAUAUAAAGAGAUGUAAGUAGAUAGUUCUUUUACACCAGCUUAUCCAAAAAGGUUUUUAAUGGGCAGCCUAAAUAACAAAGAGAAUUUCUCUGAAUAAUAAUCUGGAAGAACCCGUUUAUCACUUUGUGCAUCAAGCUAUUAUUUUUCUCCUUCAAAGUCUGUAACAUCUCAAAUAUAUUCUGUCAUUUUUAUUUAUGAUUAGUUGGUGCAUCUCUUUUACUCACUCUUCAACCAGUCAAAAAUUUAGAAAUGAGAUGUUGUUCAUCUGUAUUAUAUGUCUUACUUUUAGUCCCUCUCUUUCAGUCCUAUCUUGACAAUAUGGAUAAAGGGUCCAGCUGCUAAUGAUAUUAGCGUAUAUUCACUUCAAAAAAUUUGGCAACAGAAUUUACCGUUUGGCACAAGCGCAACUUAGGCUUGUUCAAAGUUGGUUUGAAGGAGAGCUUGAAGUGAUAGAAAAGUUGGCAAAGUGGAGGCCUCUGCUAUUGAAAUUGACGAUUUUUUGCUUGCCAUAAACACUUCUAAAUCCUGAAGCUGAAGAGAAACCUACAUUAAAGAGUAAAAUAUCAGAAUCACCAGUCUAGGAUUCAGAAAGAACAUUUGAAGGAGCUAAUUUCAGGUCCCUGAAUUCUUUUCAGGUAAAGGGUAAAAAAAUGCCUAGACUAUGCCAAAUGGAAUAAUUCCGCUCUCCCAUAAAAAAGUGUCUCGUUCCUACCCGUGUGUUACCAAAGUGCCUCAAUUUUUGCCUUUAUGGGUUAAUGGCAGCAGCUAAACGACAAAUUUAUACCAUUCACAAAGUCCAAGAUCAUAUUCAACCUUUUCCGUUGAGCCCCUUUAACAGGAGAAUCCAUUUCUGGCAUUUAUCCCAAAAACACAAUAACAUUUGUUGAUCGCUUUUUAAGUUAUUUGUAGUAUAGAUUCACAUAAUCAAGUAGAAUAGAACCAUAUAAAGAAAAACAGAAAGCCCCAUAAGAAAAGCUUUAAAGAAGAUAACGACUUAUAAGAAAUAUCAGCAGAAGUAAGUCUCACCUUUGAAGAGAGUAUUAUGCAACGCCAAUAUCAGGAACUGAAGCAACAACAACAGAGAAAAUUAAACAGAGUAAAUCAAAGUGAGGAAGAGGAUUGAAAAUACAGUGUAAUGACAAAUCAAGUGUUGAUUGCCAAGUUUUACAAUGACCUAUGUCAUUCCGUAAAGAUAUAUACAUACGGACAUGACACUGUAUCACAACUAUAGGCCAAAAUAUGCCAAAAUUUGGUGUACAACUCAGAUAACAUUGCGUGUAAAAACUUGUUAAUGCAGUGUUCUUACUCCUUAGCGGCUUAUAUCAAUACUAGACGGGGACCCAACAUGCUUCGUUUAAUGUAACGAUUUUCAUUGUAAUAAUACAACUUAAGCAGUUAAGUACACUUAGCCGCCAAAUGCCUCUAUAUUAACAUAGGCAGAACAUGGCAUAUUCAUGUACAUAUUCAAAAUAGAUAAACUCCUUUAUACCGUUAAAUGAUAUUGACGACCAAAUAGUGGUCAAACAAACUGUAAAACCCAAAAACUAAUUCAUAUUGAUGUUUAAAUAGAUACAAUAACCAACCAUCCACUGUACCAGACCUAUUAAUCCGAAUAGGGAUUAAUGAUCUGCACCCCUAACAGUCAGCAGAGGCUUCCAAUCUAUUGGUAUGAUACUGAAGAAGUGUUUAUUUUUAAAAAGAGGGGGAAAAAUUGGGAGUAGGAGAAGUGGAAAUGGGAGAGAGGAUAGCAAGAUGUGGAAUCAAACCCUCACCAACAACGUGAAAGUUCAAGUAACCAACCUACUAACUGAACUAAUAAGGUUGUUCAAUUUGCCAGACAACAUUAUCCUUGCCCUGGCUGUCAUUUUUUCUCUUUAUUUGAACUAGGCUCUGCUUGUAAUUGAAAACCCAAAAGCGACCCAUGAUUAGGUCCAGCUGAAAGCCAAGAUCUAUAACUUGUCUUGUUGUGGGGUCAUAUAAUACCAACUGUGAGGUUUCUGUGAUUUCGAAAAUCAUCUUAUCCUCCUCCCAGAUGCUGCGAGGCCAAUGAGCAACUAUUUGAGGUUGAACACUAAGAACUUUGGUCCAACUACCCUCUAGGUACAUCACCCACACAUCAUAUAUGGAUGUCAUUGGUUUACCAGGAUCACCAACUAAGAUAGCAAGCGAGUCACCACGCAACAUAAGCUUUCCCCACUGUGCCUUUGGAAUAUCCGGGCCUUGCAUCUCCCCAAAUUGUUCGCUGCCCAUAUCAAACGAGCAUAUGCGGAAGAUAUUGUCUAGACGCCAAGAGAGCCAAUAAUAUACCCCGUUGAGAUGUGUAGCACCAAUGGGCUCGUGUAAGUUACAACAGUCAGGGAAAUCAGGUCUCAGGUUCUUCCAUGAGUUGUUGCGUAUGGAAUAGACACUGACAAAGCAAUUACAGGAAACGCCCAGUCCCCAGUCAUCCCAAAAUUUUCUAAUACAUAGAACCUUAUAAUCUCGAGUCAAUGGGUCAAACCCCAAUGCAAACUGAUCAUCAUGAUCUUUGAAUGGCUGAGGCUCAAAGGACACAGGAGGCAGAGGCCAGAACUCCCUGGUGGCAGGAUUCCACAAAGCCAAGCGAGCAUUGUCUUCAUCCAAAAACGCUGCUUUUUCCACCAAGAAUAGGCCAUCAACUGGGCCAACAAUGGACAUGAAAUCAGAGACCCUCCAAAGCUGAUGGACAGUUUUUUGUUCAGGGGAAACACCUUGAACUAUUUUGGCAGGGAGCAAGGAAAAAGCAAUGGACUUUGAUUUAUCCAGAAGUGUUAAGUUACAAAUGAGUAGAUGGGCAUGAUUAUGCUUGUGACGAAAAUGCAUUUCUACAAAACUUGGACUUGUGAUGAGAGCAUACCAAUGUUUGCACACACAUUUGAAACGCACAAGUGAUUCCACAGGCAACCUUAAUAAAACAUCCACUAAUAAAUCUUUUGGUAAAUGACGUCUACCAGCCAUAAUGGUGUUCCCAAUUUAAUCUUCUGUGAAACAAAAUGUCAAGAAAAAUUGAGUAGUACUAUUAUGAUGUGAUCAAAGUAUCAACUAAAAAGACAAAAACAAAUAGAAAAAUGAAAUUCAUAAAAGGCAACAAUUCUCCCACAGUGUCAUUAAGAAACAAAAUUUUGAAAAGUGCUCUUAAAAGAUUUGUAGUCUUCCCAUUUCAUCUGCUUUUCAUUAGGCAACCAAAUGAUCCCUCUAAAUCACAACUUAGCAUAUAUAGCAAUUCUACAAGUAAAUACACAACAAUUUCGACUAACUUGGAAAUGGUUUAACUUAACACAACUUUCAAAUAAUCCUAGCAAAUGAAAAAUGCAAAGAAUGGUCAAAACAUCAUUAUUAGUACAAAUUUGGGCACAAAGUAUAAAUUUUAUGGGUAAAAAUUCACCAAAGUUGCAAUAAAUAGUAUAUGAACUCGUAACUUUAAAAAUAUAAAUAAGCUUGGGUUUGAUUUGGUUAGACAAUAUGUGGUUGGUAAAUAAGGAUCAAUAUGAAGUCAUGAUUUUAAAUGCAAUUUGAGAUCCCAAAUUCUCCAACAACAAAGAAAAAAACAUGAUUUUUUCGUAUUUAUGAGAUAAAAAAUAGUAACUAAAACAAUCCGAAUAACAAAACUUCAACUUCAGAUCAUUAUUUCAUAUCACAUGUCCAUACGGUCCUAAGUUCAAUGCUAAGAAGUAUAAAAGUUGAACCCAUAGAGUUUGAAUCCCAAAGUGAAUUGGGAUACAAAAACCAUAAUAGAAACAGAACAACAAAACCCUAUAUUAUCACCAAAAUAGAGAAAAAUGAAGAGAAAUUAAAAAGCUAACCUUGUAAGCUGAGGAAGAAGAAUGAGAAAUGAGAGUAGUGAAGAAGAGUCAAAAACGUUGUCAAUUUAUUGUACUAGGAUAACCUCUGGGUUGGCAGUCGGCAGAUAGCAUCUCCUUUUUCUCUUUCUUUUUUCUUUUUAUGUUUUAUGGUAGAGAAAAUGACAUAAACAGUCGCUUAACUAUAAGAGUAAGUCUAAAGUGGUUCUUUAACUAUACAAUUAAUGGAUUUAGUUCUUUAAGUGUAUAGUUAAGGAACCAUUUUAGACCUAUUUCUAUAGUUAAGGGACUGUUUAUGUCAUUUUCUCUUUUAUGGUACCUACCUACUUUUAUUUAUAUUCUUUUCUCUUUUUUUGGAGACUAAGAUUUUUAUAUUUUAUUUGUUUUGAUUUUUCAAAUGGUGUUUGAUAUUUGUAUUGGAGUCCAUUUAUUUUGGAUUCGCAUUGGGUAGGACCCAUUUGAUAAGAAUCUUUUAAUACUCGUAACUUGAAUUUGAGACCUCUAAAUUAAGAGAGGACCAGACUCAUCUACUGCACUAUAUACUAUAUAAUACUCCCUCUGUUCCUAAUUACUUGUCCACUUUUCCUUUUAUAGGUUGUCCAUUUUGAUAAAUCAAGAGAGGACAAAAUAAUUUAAUAAUUUUACAUAUUAUACCCUUAAUUAAUCACUUUUGAAAAAGGUACAAUUGCUUGAAAAUCUUAAAUUUUUAAUCCAUUCACUUCAUAAUUAAUAGGGGUGAAAUGGUAAACUCACUAUGUCAAUAAUUGCUUUCUUUUUUUUUUCUUUUUCUUUUUUUAAAGUAACUCCAUUGAUCAUUGAUGUGCAAAACUUACAAUUUGAGUUUGGCAUACCAAACUUUGUACAUGAUCAUUGAGGGGAGUUCACUAAGCUAUACUUAGUCAAAAACCUAUGGGGGAUCGUAGAUGAUAUGGGAUGGUUUGUUCAUUUUGAUCCUGAAAGAGUGAAUAUCCCCAUUUGUCCAUAUUGACUAGCCCCUUUACUUGAUUGGGAAGCUCAGUAUGAGAGUAGAAGACAUGGAUUGACUCAAAAUUAUGGCUCAUGCUUGCCAAUUUAUCAGCUGGUCUAUUGGCUUCUCGAAAACAAUGCUUGAUUUCAAAUCCAUUCUUUUCAACUAACUCUUGGAUUUCAUUGAUGAUGUGUAGAAUCCUCCAAGGCACUUUCCAUUCCCUUCUGACGCAUUUGGUAAUGAGGAGAGAGUCGGCUUCUCCAAUGAUCACACUAUGUCCAUUAUUUACACACCAUUUUAUGCCAAACAACACUGAAGUUGCUUCUGCCAUGUUAGAUGCUCCUGGUCCCAGAGGUAUUGAGUAAGCACAAAUAAUUCUUCCUUCAUUGUCUCUGACCACUCCCCCUCCUCCACAUAUACCACGUAAACAACUCCCAUCACUAUUUAACUUAACAAUGUGAGGGGGGGAGGCUUGUUCCAUUUGAUAGCUCUGGAAACUCUUUGCUCAAUGUUUGCUUCACAAGCAUUGCAGAUUGCACUCCAUUCCUCUCCUAAGUUGGCUCUUCUAAACUUCAUUUUUAGAACCUGCACAAGAGUAUUUAGAACAUUAGUCUUGGUCCUAUAGAAGGAUACCCUCAAGUUUUCAAACUUUCUACUACAUUUUGCUUUCCAUAUCUCCCACACUAUGAUUAAAGGAAGAAUUUUGGUUAUAUAGGUAGCAAAAAUGUUGUGGGACUUGUAGUUCCACCAAUUAAGUAACAUCAUCUUGUAGCUCCUGCUGGUGUGAUCGAUUCCUAGAGGACCUGCAAAAAAACUCCAAAUUCUUUUAGCGUGGUCACCUUGACAGAAAAGAUGGUUAGUGUCUUCUAUGAUAUGAUCCAUAUUGUUGUUGUUACAAUAAUAGCAGGUACAAUCAACUUGAAUACCAAACCUGGAGACUCUUUCAUUGGUAGAAAGUUUAUAUUUAAUGACUCCCCAGUUGAGGAAGGAGAUUUUGAAAGGAAUAUCCUCAUGCCAAAUGUUUUUUAUAAAAUUGUUACUGUUACUUUUCUGCCUAUAAUUGCUCCAGGAGGAUUUAAUAGUGAAAUUUCCAUUGGUGUUAGGGAUCCAAAUGGCUUUGUCUCUUCUGUUGCUAUGCAACACAUUAUUGAGCUCUCUAAUUUUAUCUUUAAUGUCCGCAUCAGGUUGAUUAUGAAGCUUGUCCCAAACCCACAUUUCAUCAAUGUAGACAUCUUUGAUACUGAUUUGUUGUUGUUGUACAUUAUUAGGAAACAAAAGAUAUAGAGGGCCAACAUUAGUCCAAUUGUCAUACCAAAAGUCCACCUCUCCUCUCCCAAUGAUCCAUAUGAUGUUCUUGUCCACCUCUUCUUUAAUGUUGCAAAGAACUUUCCAACUUUGUGGUUAUCCUCUGCUCCAUUGGGACUUGAUAGGGUGCAUAUUGUUGAAGUACUUAGCUUCCAUGAAAUUCUUCCAUAGUGAAGUAGUGGUUCUGAGGUUCCACCAUUGUUUUGUUUGAAAAGCAUGGCACGUGUCUUCAAGAUUUCUGAAGUUCGCUCCACCCUCCUCAUAAGGGUAGCACAAGUUCUUCCAAGAGGCCCAAUGAUACUUACCUCUAGUGUCUUGCCCUGUCCAAAAAAAUCCAAUAAUGUACUUCUCUAUAAGCUCAAUGGUACCUUUGGGAGAGUUGGUAGCUGCAAAGAGAUGAAUUGGCAUCGCAAGGAGUACAUGUCUAAUCAAAAUAGCUUUUCCACCGGUGGAAAGAAAUUUAGUAUGCCAACCUCUAAUCUUGUUAAUGAUCUUGCUUACCAUAUCUGAGUAGUGAGAGAUCUUUUUUUUACCAGUAAUAAGAAGGCAACCAAGAUAUCUAAUAGGAAAGACCUGAUGUUUCAUACCAGUAAUGAUUUUGAGCCUGUUAAUAGUAGCAACUUUGGUAUUAUUGGCCACUGCAAAACAACUUUUUUCCUUAAUGAGUAGUUGACCAGAAACUUCCUCAUAUAUUUUCAGAGUUUUAAGCAUCAUUUCAAGAGGUUUCUUGCUACCAUUACAAAAAAGAAUAGUAUCAUCUGCAAAGGAUAAGUGAUUUAUCCUUGGGCCAUUAGUGUUCAUAUAGAACCCCUUGUAGCCUUGUUUAUCAUACAAGUUAUUUAGCAUUUUAGAGAGUAAUUCAGCACUGAUGAUAAAUAAGGAUGGGGAUAUUGGAUCUCCUUGUCUCAAGCCUCUACUGGAAUUAAAAAAACCAUGUCUUCUCCCAUUAACAAUAACAGAAUACCAGUUACUGGAUAUGAAAUUGUAGAUCAGAUGAGUCCACCAUUCAGAGAAACCAAAUGUCACGCCCCGAGCCUACACCCUGGGCGGGACCGGCACUCGGAGACCAUUGCUGGCCCCAAGCGAACCCUUGGCCUAGCUUUCUUAACUCGAAACUUGAGACUCUUUACUUGACUUGAAACUCUAUACUCUUUGCUUGACUUGAAACUCUAUACUUAACUUGGAACUUGAGCCUUAGAAUGAAGUUAAAACGUUCAAUGAAGACUCUUGAAAAGCUUUAAAGACUUGCUUUGACUUGCUUAACUCCCUCAUGAUGUUUAGGAAUGAUUUGGGACAGCCAAACUUAAGAAAAUCUCCGAACAUAAUUUCUGAAAACAGUGGAGUCCGCGUCCUGUCCGCGACGCGGAGCAGAUUUUGUUCACAGAGGGAACAAGUCCGCGACGCGGACGUGCUCCUCGCAAACUGCCCGACUUUCUCCUUCACGUCUCCAACUCUAAAUCCUCUAACCUCAAAGGUUCCAGCCCCAAUUCACUUAGAAACAUGAAAUCCCUCAACAUUCAAUAGAUUUCAACUCAAAACCCCAACCGGAAACAAGUCCCAACUCAUCAAGAAUCUCAACAUUACAAUCAACAACUAUACCAACAAUAAUUUCAACAACUAACAACUUUAACAACUCCAACAACUUCAACCACAACAACUAACAACUUUAUCAACAAAGCCAAUCCUUUCUUGAUAAGUAAAAGGGGCUAGGUGUGUGGGGGAAAGGAUCACCCAACACUAAAAGCUCACAUACCUUGAUAGGGAUCACCCCCGACGAAAACCCACGAUGAUCUCCUCUUCUUCUCUUCUUCUCUUCUUCUUCUCUCAAAACCCUCACUCUCACUCCUUUUAAAAUGGUAAAACUGAUCAAAAUGAUCAGCCUAACACAUUUAUAUAACCCAAAAUAAAAGGCUAGGGAAAAGACCAAAAUACCCUUAAUUUUCCGGUCGGAUUCCUUGCCCAACUGCCCAAAUUUCAAUGGCCAUAACUCGCUCAUACGAAUUCGGAAUUGAGCAAACUCGGUGGCGUUGGAAAGAUCGUUCCACGAACUUUGAAACCAUAACUGGAACUCCACCUAAAUCAUCUUGAGCUAAAAUUUAUGGCUGUUCAAAGUUGGCUAAAAAUUCACAUUUUUCCAUACUUAGCCAAAUUUCCAAAACUUUAAAAUUCUUUCCAAAAAUGAAAAUUUCCAAUUCUAAGCCUCUUCAAUUAUUUCACAUUGCCGGAUGUUACACCAAAUCUCUUUAGAGCCUGGCAAAGGAACUCCCAAGAGACUCUAUCAUAAGCCUUGGCCAUAUCUAAUUUUAGCACAACAUUUCCUCCUCUAGCAAGCUUCUUAAUAUCAUUGAUAAUUUUUUGUGCAAGAAGGAUAUUUUCAGAAAUUCCCCUCCCUCUGAUAAAACCAGAUUGGUUCUUGGAUAUGAUUUUGGGGAGUAAGCUGGAGAUUCUGUUAUUGAGAAUUUUAGAAAUGACUUUACUGAAUACAUUGCAAAGGCUAAUAGGUCUCAGGUCAGUAAACUUCUGGGGGUGGUCUAUCUUGGGAAUCAUAACCAAACAAGUAUGAGUGAUAAACUUAGGAAGUUUUGCACCCUGGAAGAAAGACCCAACUGCUUUGUAGAGGUCAUAACUUAUGAUGUUCCAAGCACUUUGAUAAAAAUGUCCACUUAGUCCAUCUGAACCUGGAGCACUAUCUUUAUCAAUGGAAAUUAUGCAAUCUUUAAUCUCCUGCAUAGUGGGGAUAGAUGCUAACAUAGAGUUAUCAUCUUCAGUUAUGCACCUCUCAAUACAAUCUAGAGCUUCAAAAUUGGAAUGAUGAGUGUCUUGAGUAAACAUAUUUUUGAAAUGCCUAACAGCAGCUUCAGCAAUGCUAUUAUUUCCUUCAAUCCAUUGAUCAUGUUCAUCCAUAAUUUUUGAGAUAUUCAAUCUCCUUCUCCUUUCUUUCAUAAUAUUGUGGAAAUAGGUAGUGUUGGCAUCCCCUUCUUCAAACCAUUUAGCUCUGGCAUUCUGUCUCAAGAUACAAUCUUGAAUCUUGAGAUAUCUAACGAAUUCAGCCUUACAUCUAGAGAGCUCACUUCUGUUCUCUGGGGUGUUGUUGUUCACACAAGUAUCCUCAAGAAUUCUGAUAUCUGCUUCUAAUUUUUUUGGAGUUUCAUAAAUAUCCCCAAAAGUUAGUUUAGACCAGAUGCUAAGAUCUUUACUCAUCCUUUUGAUUUUUUGAUGAAGAAUGUACAUAGGAUUUCCAUAGAUAUUUCCUUCCCAACUUUCUUGUACAGUCUUAAGAUAGUCAGGGUGAUCAGUCCAAAAGUUCAGAAAUUUGAAAUAUCUUAUGAAGUGGGUGGUUUCAUUUGUCAUCUUGACUAGAAGGGGAGCAUGGUCAGAGCUGGUUCUAGACAAAUGAGUCACUGAAGUGUUAGAGAUAGAGUCAAACCAGCUAGAGUUAUAGACUUAUCUAUCAAGUCUCUUCCAUAUGGUAGUAGGAGGAUCCCUAUUAUCACACCAAGUGUAUAUAGAACCAUUGUAGCCUGCAUCUUGAAGCCCACAGUCAUUAAGACAUUCUAAAAAAUCAAAGCUUUCUUCCAUUCUGUAGCUUCUACCUCAUUUUUUCUCCUCAAUAGAAGUGAUAACAUUGAAAUCCCCAAUGGCACCCCAGAUUCCUUGGAUAUUGUUAGCCAUUUCUCUCAAAUCAUUCCAUAGUUCUCUUCUUAGGUCUUCGGUGCAUUUAGCAUACACUACAGUCAAGAAUAUGGGCUGAUUGUUAAGAUGGGUGGCUUUGAUCAGAACAUGUUGUUCUUUAUCUUGAAGGAUGGUGAUGUCCACUUCAACUGUCCAAAGAAUCCAGAUCUUAUUAGAGCAAUUGCAGUAACUAUGAUCCAUUCUUAACUUCCUUUUGAAUCUUUCCAUCUUUCUACUGUCCACCAUUGGCUCUUGUAGACAUAUUAAAGGGAUCUGAAACUGUUGCUGAAAUGUUUGGAGUCUUUCUAGAUAGCCUGCUGAUCUUAUCCCUCUUUUAUUCCACGAUAGUGUAUCAAUCAUGAGAUAUAUUCAAGGGUAGAAGUAGUUUGAGUGUUUUUGAGUUCUUCUGUCAUGGUGUGACUUUGAUCAUAAAUCUUGCCAAGAUUCUGAUUGUUCCUGGGAGAUAGGUUGUUGUAAACUCUAAUGUUUUGUUGAACUUGAGAGGUUAAGCUGUUACUAGUUUCUUGAGAUUUUGAUCUGUUAGUUCCUCUAAUGGCCUCAUCAUCUGACAUGGUUUGGCCUUCUUCUCUGGUAUGAGUAAGCUCAAACUCUAUUUCUAUUACUUCCACAUCAUGAUAAACUUCUUCAUAUUCAUCUCUUUCUCUAGGCUCUCUGUGUUAUUUAUCCGUGGGUUCAUGGUUGUUGUUGUAUCCACCUUCUUGUUUCUUAUACAUUCCAUGAUUUUCAGUAUUUACUUCUCUUUUCCCAUUGGCUCCCUAGCUAAUAGUGUCUUCGCGAGUUCCCAUUUUGUUAGUGAGUGAGACCCAUUUUGUAAGCUGAUCUGCCUCUUUUUUCCUAAUAAUUCCAUCAUCAUCUCUGAAUUCACCUUGGAGUGUGACUUCUUUCGGGAUAGAAACUUCUCCAGUGAACUUUUUCCUUUUAUUUUGUAUGUUUUUUAUGUCUUUGGGAUCUUUGAUAACUAAACUCAACAUUUCGCCUUGUAGUUCUGCCUCAGGAUUGGUAAUACUAGCAGCAUUUCCACUUCUUGUACUUCUAACGUUGAGCUUUGGUUGGUGUCUUUUGCUAGCCUUGCCUUCUUUUUCUUUUUGAGCUUUGUCCCACCUUGAGCUUCUCACUUGAUUUUGCUGAUUUGCUGAAGUAUCAUGUUCUUCCAGGUUCACUUGGCUAGGUUCUGCAUCUUCCAUGUCCCCAUUUUCCUUGUCUUGGAGGAUAUUGAAGAAGUUACUGGUUACUUUGGUCGUUUUGUUGUCAAUAGUAAACUUUAUCCCAUUUGGUGUCUCCUUUGAAAUGGUUUCCUUUCCCCUUCGCUUUACCACAUCAUGACAUCCCUCAUCUUUGUUUUUAGUGGGAUUAGAGCUUUCCUCCAUGGGCAUGGUGUUUGAUCCAUUUUGUUGCUCCAUUGAUCCAUGUUUUUGUUGCCAUUGAAGGCUCUGGCUUCCUCUUUUGGCGUGGGUAUCUACAUCCUCUUUUCGUUUUUCCUCUUUGUUAGAUUGUUGUUCUCUAACCUUAGUUGUUCCUGUGUGGACCACCUUACAGUUUUCAGUAGAGUAGAAUGGUUCUGAACUUUGCAGUGGGAGCAAUAGAUUGGCAGUGUUUCAUAUUCAAUUUUUUGCUCAAAAGUCUCUUCUUCACCAGAAAGAUUUCUUACUUCUACUCUCACUGUAUGGAUCAGAGGUUUUGCAAGAUCAAUUUGAACUCUUAACUUUGCUGUGGUUGGUCUUGUUUUCGUAGUCGUCGUUUUAUCCAUGAUCAACGGGACCCCUAUGGGAUCCACAAUUCUACAAAGGGCGUCCCAUUCAUAGUAAUGCCAAGGUAAAUCCGGGAGAUUUAUCCACACAGGUGCUGUUAUGAUCUCGAAUUCAAAUGGAAAAGAAAAUAAUCAACACAAUAGUUUUUGGGAUUUUCUGAUUUAUAACUGGAAAAUUGAAAACAAGGAUAUCUACUAAAUGGAAUUAAAACUACAUUUAACAGAAACUAACUGAAGAACUCGCCAUAGCCAUAAGGACCUGCAGAUUUAGAUGAGAAAAGAAUUUAGAAGGAGAUUGAAAAGAAGAGAAGAGAAGAGAGUCUAUUAGAAGAGAGAGAGAGGAGCACGAGAAUAAUACCAAUUUGAUCAAAUGCCCCUUUUGCUCUUCCAGGAACUUAGUUAUAGGAUGCUCACGUGCAAUCACAGCCCUUCAACUUCAUUAACUCCAAUUAAAUCUCGUACGUCUAGGUGUUAUAAUUCUAUUCGUCAUUUCUUUAUUCUUCACUUAGCUCAUUUAUUCAGGUCAUGACAUUCCCGCCCGGAUCAAACAAUCCUUGACCCCAAGGAUGAUUAUCAAAAAUUUGUCCCGUCCAGGUUCAUUACAAUCCUUCCUGCUUGAAAUCAACAUUGUCCUCAAGGUUGUUGUCCACACCCGCAUAUCAAAAACCAAAAUCAUCAGAUUAUUUCUCGCUAGAAUUCCUAAGGUAAUAUGCCUAUUUGCUGUGAACACUUCUCUCGCAAAAGCUUCAAUUAAAGACUUGGAUUGAUUGACCUUUGCUAUCAUUGUGUCCCUUAUAUCACGAAGCAAAGAUAGGCUAGUACUUUUUCUCAGUAUUGUUUCCAUUUUAGUCUGCAGCUCCGCUAUUCUGUCAAAGAGCUUUUCAGCCUCUGUUGUAGAGAUGUGGAGCUGCUUUUGGAGGUCAACGCUUCCAAGACAACCCAGUGGAAUUUCAGUGCGACAUGGUGCAAAUAAGCCCACAAAUAUUUGACCCUCAGAAUGUACAUGAAUAUGCUUUUUGGAAUUUUCCGCAAAUGGCAAGGAAAACACACAUUUUGCAAUAUUUGAUAGGCAUAAAUGUUCUCAAAGUAUCUCAAAAUCAUUCCAGUGGCACAAAGAAAAAGCAUUAUAAGCUGAUAGUAAAAUUCCUGUUGUAUACUUGGGAAUACCAGAUGUAGAAAUGACCAAGUUGUGCUCAGAGUCACUCAAAGAACAAUGCUUCUUUAAAAAAGAUAUGCCCGGAUCAAAUUGAAAUAGAUGUGAAAAACCUCGAGUUUCAGGUGUUGUAGCAAUCAAGAAAUACAAUUUCUUACCAUGGAAACAACACUCCACUUCCUUAGUGUUAAGAAUAGACCAACAAAAGUUGCCUAGUUGCUGAUGUAAAAGGUGUAGUGCAAGUUUCUCCAUCAACAGAAAAACUAUAUAAGCAAUAUUUGAGCUGACUUCGCUUUCAUACACUCGACUCCAAGAGAGAAUAGGGAAGAAUGAUGUCACAUAUCCUGUGAAGAGCAUGUGUGCUGAUGUAAAAUAUUGAAAUGUUUUAUUUUUAUAGGAUGCAACCCAGCAGCUUCCUUCUCCAGGCCAAUCGACAUACCACCUGGGUCAAAAGUCAAAUACAAACCAUACACCAUUGUUCUUACUGUUGCAGCUCCAUCUCUUAGUUUAGCAGAGUCGUUGGUGUUUGAUAAAAGGAUAUGUAGGCCAACCACAUCAACUAUAGAUGUACCCCUCGCAUAUUCAACUUUCCAAAAUGUACCCAGGCUGAAUGCCCCUAAUUUAACUUCAGUUUUGGUUGACCAAUUCACUUGCAGCCCUGUUCGAGUAAUUUGUAACCAUGUAGCUUUGCCAUCUUUAAGUCUAUUACCGAAGUUAAAAGCACCAGAAUAUAUUGCAACAAGGAGGAUAAAACCAAAUGACCAAGGCUGACAUUGUCUACAGACAUGUUGUUCUGCCAAAUAAGCCUUUACUCUAGCAGUCGACAAGUUUCUAGCCAUGACUGAACCUCUUCUUUGAGAAGCUUUCCGAAUUGUACACCCAUCAACUGACCAAUAAUGUAUAGACAAAUAAAUUGUGGCUAUCCUUUUAGAGUCAUCAUGCAAGGUUAAUGGCAAAAUAGAGCUCCAAAAUAACAUAAUCUUCUUACUGGACGAUGUUGUUACGUGUAAAGAGAGACUUCUUGUACCACUGUAAACAUGGCUAUAUGUUGGAAUGGUAGCAACUGAACAUAUAGAAUCAAUAUGGACAACAGGAGAAUGCAUAAACCACUGCCAUCCCGUAUCCCACACUCGGUUGAUGUUAUCAGAAGAUCUAUGCAAACAAACCAUGCUAGUCAUAUCUAUCAAAAUUUCUCGAACAUUACUUGUGUGACCAGUUAACUUCAAGGUCUUCAAACUUAUCCCUGGAUCCCAUAUGGGAACAACCAGUCCAUUUCCAACUAAUUCAAGAGAUAACUUGGUCUUAAUUCCUACGAAUACAUGUACUAUGCGGACAUGAUUCCUUUCAGACAUUUCAUCAAACAAGUGGGAAGCAACUCUUAGUUUCAUUUCCUUCAAUUUCUCGUUCAUUACUACAUAUCUAGAGACUCGUCUACUAACCCAAAAAACCUCACCAAUUUGUUGCAAAUUUAACUCAUGAGCGAGAAAGUAGACAGAUGUUUUACCUGCUAUUUCAACCUUCACAGUUGUCAUGAUAAACUUGAUCUUUGCCAUUUUUUGAAUUUGUAAAGGUGCAAUUGAAAUAGCUUCUAUGGUUCGCUUCUCUGCCUCAAUUUUGAUAGAGUCGUUCAACGCAUUGCUCUUCUCCAUCACCUCAUCAAAACAAAAGUAACAAUGGCAAUCAAUGCUGCGUAUGCAACCAUAGAGGCAAGAGUUACAAUCACAAUCAAUGCUGCAUAUGCAAUCCUCGUACUUCUGCAAUUGCUUAACAUUCACAACUAUUCCAGUCACUCCUUCCGUAGCCAAAGUAUUAUAUGACACCGCCAACCUCUUUUUUGAUUCCUGGAACAUCUUCAUCGAAUUACUACCCACAGUCGAGAUAGGUUCGUUGCUCUGAUACCAAUUGUUAUGAUCUCGAAUUCAAAUGGAAAAGAAAAUAAUCAACACAAUAGUUUUUGGGAUUUUCUGAUUUAUAACUGGAAAAUUGAAAACAAGGAUAUCUACUAAAUGGAAUUAAAACUACAUUUAACAGAAACUAACUGAAGAACUCGCCAUAGCCAUAAGGACCUGCAGAUUUAGAUGAGAAAAGAAUUUAGAAGGAGAUUGAAAAGAAGAGAAGAGAAGAGAGUCUGUUAGAAGAGAGAGAGAGGAGCACGAGAAUAAUACCAAUUUGAUCAAAUGCCCCUUUUGCUCUUCCAGGAACUUAGUUAUAGGAUGCUCACGUGCAAUCACAGCCCUUCAACUUCAUUAACUCCAAUUAAAUCUCGUACGUCCAGGUGUUAUAAUUCUAUUCGUCAUUUCUUUUUUCUUCACUUAGCUCAUUUAUUCAGGUCAUGACAGGUGCUAAAGAAUUUUCAGCAUUCGGUUUGAAAUUUGGGGUCCAUUUCAAAAUCUUCAUAUCAACAUCAUCAUUUAAGGCAAUAGAAUCUCUGGAAAAGAUAUCAUUGAAGUCUUCUUCAUUUUCAACAUCAAUAAAAACAUGAUAUCUAUCCUUAGCUCCAAUUUUAGCUUCCCCUUUGGUAGUGAUAACCUUAGUAAAAUCGGAUCUGAUUCUAUCGAUGGCUGGUUUUCCUCUAGAAAACUUACCGAUUAUUGUCCAUCGGCAGGUGUCCGCCAGAAGCUCGUGUUCCUCCUUUGUAAAUACCACGACUGCUUUGCCAUCUAUGAUUUCGUGCGCUCUUGGAGGGAGCAUUAUUUUCAGUUUUGAUCGAUUUCCAAUUCUGUAUCCUAGAGCACCUGCAUACGAGUCCUUUCUAUUGUGAUUGUGGGUUUGGUCUAUUUCCAUGAGCUUGGUUCUGAGAGGUGGAAAGUCCUCUGGUUGAGGCGGUCUAUUCUUGUUCGCCGGGUCUGGUGGGUCUGGAAAUUUGGGGUUGUUGCUUCCUCUGGUGUUACGUGUGUUACCCAUAGGGCUCAUCGGAGCUGGCCGGUGAUAGCCGUAACCAGCUCAAAAGAGCCGUUAGUGAUAGUUUGAACUUAACAGUGGAAAAAGAAAGUUGUACGGAGAGAAAAAUUUCUUUGUGAAAAAUAUAACCUUUUUGAUCGGAAUAAUUGCUUUCUUAAUAGAUGUAUCAAUUCAAAAGUAGACAAGUAAUUAGGGACAGAGGGAGUACAACUCAAUGAUAACCAACAUUGGUUGUGGUGCACUGGUGGGACUAUUUCACUCUUGAUCAGAAGUUUCGGGAUCGAGCAUAUGGAGAAAAUUUUGUUAGGAGUGUCACCCUCGAAAGGACCCUACAAUGCGCAAACGGGUUCGAGAUGAGAAAAUUUUGUUAGAAGUGUCACCUCGAAUGAGUUAUGCAGUGCGCGAUCUAAAUUUAGUCAAGGUUCCAAUGCGGACUCCGAACAUUGAGUGAGUGUAACGAUCCAUUUGAUCGUUUUGAGUACUAGAGCUUUUUAUUUCAUAAAAUACUUUCCGAUAGAUUUUAAAUGGGUAUUUUGGACUAUUCAUAACUAGAAUUAUGAAUUUAGUGGGAUAGUUUUAAUAACUAAUUUAGUUGAUGGUUAAAGAAGAUAACAUUAAAAUUAGUAGUGAUCCAUUUUUAUAAUUCGUUACAUCUAACAAUUAGGUUAGUAAAUAAUCUGUUGAAAUAAAGAAGACAAAUUAGAUGCUUGAGCGUAAAAACAAAUUGAGAAGAGGGCUUAUUUGUGCGGCGACUACAGGGAUCACUCGUAUUGGUAAGUUUCUUUAUUAAUUGUUACCGUGAAGAUUUUUGGAGGAAUAUAUUACUUCUGUAACAGUGAAAUCGUUAAGGGUGUAUUGGGUUGUUACGAUGGUUAAGUGCAUCAAGUCAUUGGCAGUAGGUUUCAAUUCUCGUGUGAAACAAUUUCAGGCAAUCAUUACAAUAAUUAUGUGGUAAUCAUAAAGUAAUUAUUAGGAGAUGUUAAUUGAGUAAUUGAAUUAUAUCAAAGGCAUAGCAAGUGUUGCUCAUAAGUGCUUAUUUCUCAGUGAUUAGUAUCGCUAAUAUAGGUUGGUUGUUCCUGCUAUUAUUGAUGUUGUUAAAAUUGGGUGAAAAUGUUGUGAGGUAUUCACGUGAGUUGGAGUUCUUGGCUAAUACCUCUUAAUGGUCAAUUAAUGAUUUGGACUAAUUCAUUACAGUUAUAUAGUAUAUAGAAGGGAUAAGGGUCUGAAAAAUACUUCAACUUUGGUCGGAUUUGUUGUUGCGAUACUAAACUUUCAUGAGGACUUAUUACCUCCCUAGAUUAUUUAAUACCGUAUUUUUUACCCCCUGAACUAUUUAAUAUAAUUUUAGUAUCUCGUUAUAAAUUAUGUUUUGAUAUAUGGAGAUAGGUAAUUAAAUAUUAGGUGUAUUGUAUUAGUUCAAUACCAUUAAAGUUAUGCUAAUUGGAGGAAGUAAGACUUACCCUUAGGGUUAAACUAUAGGAAAAUUGAUUAUGGAAUCAGGUAAAUUUUUGGGUCUAGACUAGACAUAUAGUAACAUGGGUGUCUAUAAACUCGNNNNNNNNNNNNNNNNNNNNNNNNNNNNNNNNNNNNNNNNNNNNNNNNNNNNNNNNNNNNNNNNNNNNNNNNNNNNNNNNNNNNNNNNNNNNNNNNNNNNNNNNNNNNNNNNNNNNNNNNNNNNNNNNNNNNNNNNNNNNNNNNNNNNNNNNNNNNNNNNNNNNNNNNNNNNNNNNNNNNNNNNNNNNNNNNNNNNNNNNNNNNNNNNNNNNNNNNNNNNNNNNNNNNNNNNNNNNNNNNNNNNNNNNNNNNNNNNNNNNNNNNNNNNNNNNNNNNNNNNNNNNNNNNNNNNNNNNNNNNNNNNNNNNNNNNNNNNNNNNNNNNNNNNNNNNNNNNNNNNNNNNNNNNNNNNNNNNNNNNNNNNNNNNNNNNNNNNNNNNNNNNNNNNNNNNNNNNNNNNNNNNNNNNNNNNNUGUGAUUGAUUGCGUACUUGCUUCCGUUGUCACUUGUUCAUGUUGUUUGUUGCUUGCCACUUUGCUAAGUGUCAUAGUUGAUUUUAUACUAUUAUUCAUUACAUAUUAGUUUCUAUUUUGGGUUGGCCGAUGAUAUCUACUCAGUACAUGUUGCCCUGUACUGAGCCCUACUUGUGUUUUUCUUUGUUUUCUUUUUGUGGAGUGCAGCGAGUGUAUCAGUGACUUCGACUCGUCCUCAGCUCUAGCCAGUCUCCAGCACAUCAGGUUCCAGGGUGAGCUAUUCAUUCCAGCUCAUGUUGGAUUCUCUUGGUCGUGACAUGAUGUCCUUAGUUUUCGGACAUAAACUAUUUUAUUCAUUUAUUUUGGUGUCUUUAAUACUCUUAGACUUAGUAUUUGAAGAUUAGAUGUCCUUGAUGUGAUGCAUUUCAGAUUUUGGGGAUAAUAAGUGUUAGACUUUAGAGGUUUAUUUGAUUGGUUACUUUAAUAAGUUUUGAGCUUCUGCAUUAUUGUUGUUAUUCAUAGUUGAAUUAUUGAUAUAUGUUGGGAUUUGGAUUUCUUGGUUCGCCCACUUAGAAGGUUAAGUGUGGGUGCCACUCACGACUCAUUUUGGGUCGUGACAGUGAGAAACCAAAUAAAACUCAUUAUAUAUAAAAUAAAAUGUUUGAGGUAAGAAAAUUCUAUUCCUAUUGUUGCCUUUUGAAGUUUCAUGUACUGUGUAUUGGGAUUGAAAUAACAUGAAAAAUUCUAAUACUGUAUUUGUUUGAAAAGCCCUUCGUCUACUUUUGGUAAAUUAAAAAUGUUCAUUCCAUCAGUCAACAAGUCACACAUAAACUAAAUACAAUAAAUAACCUACUUGUCCCUAAUAUAUUCCUGCCCAUUCUUUUUUCGUUACAAUUUCUAUUUUUCUAAAAACUCCGUUUUUCAAUUGGGUUGAAUUCUUAUUGUGCAAAAAAAAUCAAAUAUUGCAACAUCUACCAUGGAUAGAUUUUUCAUUAAAUUAUUUGUAGUGUAUGAAAAAAUUAAUAUUUUUAACUAAAGUAUGUCACAAUUUAUUUACUCUUUUUGAUUUUUUAAAAAUAUUUCUACACUACUUCUAUUGUAAAUUAUGCAGGUAAUUUACGGACCAUAAAGCAAUAAACGGUUGUCCGAUUAGUAGGUGAGUUAUUCAUGUACUAAAAUCAGCCUAACUAGUACCACGUUUAGUAGCAUUUCAGUUGUUAUAAAUAAAAGGGAAAAGUAUUAAAAACACCCUAAACUUGGGUACAAAUUAUUAUUUACGUUCCCAAACUAUUGAUAGCCUUAAAAGCACCCCUCUAGUUGACUAACUAAACUUAGAUACACCCCAACCUGCCACAUGACAUAGCAAGUAGUCUCAAACUCUUGUAGGAGCAUAGGGCUUUUAAUAAAAACCGAGAGAAGUGUUGAAAGCACCUAAACUUAGCGAGAAUUUAGGGGUAUAUUUUUCACUUAUGUUGCUAGAUCGGGGGUGUAUUUCAAUUAGUCAUGUAAAGGGGUAUUUUAAAUUUUGUCAAUAAUUCAGGAUGAAACGAAUAAUUAGCACUGAAUUAAAAAAUGUUUUCACUACUUCUUUCUAAAUAAAAUUCAGCAUAACAAGUACAGUAUUCGAUUGCCAGUUUAAACCAAAUAUACGUAUAAGUUAUGAAGAAAACAUAUGUAUAAUUUAUGCAAGGCAGAAGAUGGAAUAACCAAACAUGGCAAAACUAAUACAUGCAUUAACUCCAAGUAGCAACCAAACAACCCCUUAAGUGCACACCCCUUUCGAACAACAUCAAUCCACAACACUUGAAAAUUUAACAAGUUUAACUUGGCACAUCUUGCAAGUAUUUCUAAAUAAAUGAAUUUUUAGCGUGAAGCAACCUCACUACUGCACCUCAACCCAUGUUGAUCUAAAAGUUAGAAAUUUAAAAGGCGCAAAGAAUGGUCAAAAUUGGGCAGGAUACAAUUUAGAAACAAAACCCUACAUCACCAAAUUCAAAAAAAAAAAAAAGUAUUACCGAAAGAAACUGAAAUCUAACCUUAUAGAAGUGACGCAGAAGAAGUGAUGGCGAUUUUGAGAGAAAAAUGCAGAAACGAGAUAGAUGGUAUCUCCUUCCUUCUCUCUUUAAUUUGUUACUACUUGUAGCAUGUAUGAAUUCGCUUAUUUUAAAAGCUCUUAGAUUUAAGCUUAAAACUAAAUAUUUAUACCAAGAAUAAUUAUUAAAAAAUGUAUUGUGAGUAAAAUAACUAUUUAGUUAAUUACUUUUAAAACAAAAUUACAUUUCAAUAAGAGAUCCCUUCCAAUAAUUUUUUUUAAAAAAAGAUAUGAGUUGUCGCAUGAGGAAUAGACACAGACAGAGACAUGAGGGUAAAUGACAUGUCCCAUAUAAUCUCGAAUCCAUACAACCUUAUAAUCUUGAGUCAACAGGUCAAACCCCAACCCGAAUUGAUGAUAAUGAUCUGAGAAAAAGUGCUCGAUCUCAAAAGGCGCAGAAGGCAGAGGCUGAAACUCUCUGGUGGCAGGAUUCCAUAAACGCAAGCGGAGACCGUCAUUAUAAAUUUGUUCCUGCACUAAGAAUAAGCCAGAAACUGGGCCAGCAACACACUUGAUAUCAGAUAAAUUCGGAAGGUGAAGGAGAACUUUUGUUCAGGAGUCACAUCCGGAACUAUUUUUUUCGGGAGCAAGAAGAACACCACAAACUUUACGAAGAUGGGUGGGAUCAUUGUUAUUUUUAAGUCGCAGACAAGGAAAUGGGCACCAUUGUACUUCUGAUGAAAAUGCUUCUCUUUAAAACUCGCACUUUUGAUGAGACCAUACCAGUGCUUGCGCACACAUUUGAAACGCAAAAGUGAUUCCAGUGGCAACCUCGAUAGAAUAUCAACCACCAGAUCUUCUGGAAAAUGACACUGACAAUCCAUACAGAUGGGUGUUUGCUUCCAAAUCUUUUACCUGGACAUAUAAGCAGAUCUCUUGCUUAGAAUAAACAGAAUGAAACAACUUACAAGCAUAAUGAAAGAGAACAAAUCUAGAAAACAUGAAUUAAUAGAACAAAAGUUCAACAAAGAAAUCAAGCAAAAGUGUUACCAUGUUAUCAAACUAAGCAAAAAAGAGUAGAUUACACAUUUGUCCGCUCAGCCAAAAGUAUGUAACAUCCACUAGUCAAUACUGUCAAAUUAGGACUGACACUCCAAAAACUAGCUCAAAGGAUUGCCUAAACCUUAUAAGGAGUCCAGAAAUCUCAUCUCGAUCCGGUGUGAGGUCAUUUUCAUUAGCAAAUACACAUAUAUCACAUGUACGGUAUACAUCUGCCCACGAUUUUUUUUCAAUGGGCAGCUAUUUAUGUUAUUUCUGUAGGAAACUGGAAAGAUGGGAACUCAUAUUAAAGAACUAGUCAUUUAGUUUUCUAUUGUAUUCAUUAGCCAAUCAAUGGUUUUCUUUUUGUUUUUUUUAACUCUCCAUCUCAAUUAAGAUACAACCAUUUUGCAGGUAAUUUAAGCAGCAUGAAACAGUAAAUAACAUACCCUUUUCGAUUAACAUCAAUCCACAACACUUGGAAAUGGAAGAAGCUUAACUUACCACAUCCUGCAGAUAUUUUUAACAAUUGAGAAACGGAAGAUGCUAAGAAUGGUCUAAAUGGAGGUGGAUCCAAUUUAAUUAAGAGCAAAAUCAUUACCAUUAAUAUAUAAGCACAUCUAUGUUGGUCGGACAAUUCAUAAAUAUUGCAGAGAGCGGUUCAGAUCCACCAAAAGUAAUAAUGCAUUUUUGGAGGAUCUGACAUGAGUGCGGCAACAAUUUUGGAGAUUCAGAAUAUAUUUGUGUAACUCUAACCAGCAAAACCCUAAUUUAGGAGUAAAAUCCAACAUCACAAAUAGUAAAAAUUCUAAAAAAAAAAAAAAAAGACUAUUUAGAAAGAAAGUGAAAGCUAAUCUGGAAAAGUUGAUGAAGAAGAGUCGGUGCGAUUGUGAGAAGGAAAAUAUGGAGAAAAGUGCAGAAAUGAGAUGAUCUCUCCUUCCUUCUUUGUCAAUUUAUACAACUCGUAUAAUCACUUUACUUAAUGUUUUUAAUAUAUUUAUAUAAUGUAUAUAUACCUUUCUUAACAUAAUAUACAUAAUACAAUCAUAGGUGGAGAUAGUUAGGGAUUUUAUGAUUUUAUUUCCUUGGAUAGAUUUACUUGUACACCAACAAAUAACUCACUCUUGGAAUAAUACGAUAAGGAGAUUUUCUCCAUUGUCUCUUUAUUUUACAUGGUAUCAAAGUCAGGUACACCCCGGUAUGGGCUCUCCAUCCACGCUGCCAUUGGGUCUGGCAUGAAAGUAGUGUUUAAGUGGGUUAAAGUCCCACAAUGUUGUGGAAUGGACUAACAGUUUGUUUAUAUGGAUUUGCGCAAUCCUUCACUCCUAACCCAACUUUUAAGGUUGUUAGGCUAAGGUGACAUAUCUUUACAUGGUAUCAGAGCGUCGUUCUAAUUACUUUGGCUCAAAAUAUUUGUCGUAAGUUAGAUAUGGUACAAAGGAGGUACCUGGGGAUUCGGAUUUCAAUCUCACAGUCGUUCUAUAGAGGACCGUCUCAUUACGACCUAUAGUACCGGUGGUCGGCAGAUAAGCGUUGAGUCUCACGCAUCAAAGAACUACUUCUGGUAGUUUCUGUGUUGGACGCGUGUAUGGCUUCCGAAUCAAACCAGGUUUCCAGUAACACCAUCGCCUCAAUAUUUUCGAUCAAAACUUGGUGGUCUCAUGUUCAACAGACCUCGGUUGGAAAGGUUUCAAAACACUCCAGGUUUCAUCAACCUGGUUUUCUUUGGGCCAAAUCACUUGAUGUCUUAUAUGUUGAUUUGGGUGUUUGGUUACUUCUGAAUCUCCAUAUUCUUGGUAGAAUUUCACUAUGAGUCUCUAGAUUGUUGAUUGUUUAUUCUUAGUGAAGAAUUAUAUGUUGAUUGGGUCCAGCAAGUUCUAUGAAUUGUUGAGCUUUUGGAGAUCUAUUGAGGUAUUUCUAUUUGGUGCAGUUUUGUUGGUUUCCUAUUAUUGGUAAGGUUAUAGAGAUUUGAUAAGUUCUUAUGUUCCUUGAUGUUUUGAUGAUCUCCUUAUAAGUGCAGGGACCUGGUCCUCUACAGAGUAUGAAUACUCGUCCAGUGGUCAAAGUGAUGUACAGCUGGAAAGCUGUCUGUAUCAGAAGGUUGGUGAAGCUGCAGCGUACUCCACUAAUCAGAAGCGAUGAGGUUGCUUGUUCAUUGGAUAAUAACUUUUCAUGUCUAAAUAUAUCCAAGGAAAAACAACAAACUAAUUCAGUCAUAUUCUCAAGAACUUACCAAGAGAAGUUUGCAAGGGACCUGGUCCUUGCAAGACUGCGAUGUGAAAGGAUGACAAGACAGCUGUUAGAAAAGCUGCCACUUCUGAUGUGGUAGGUGCACAACUUUUCUAAACAGCAGGCUCUCAGCCAAUGGGCGGUCCCAAGGAGUUUGUGUUCAUUUUAAUAUAGUCUCUUCCAACAAAACAAAAACUCAAGAUUUUGGCAAAUAAAAACUCAAAAGCUUAAAAGGAAAAAGCCAUCUUCAAGGUAGAACGAUACUUACACUCAACAAAAGAAUCUGAUAAAGGGCUGAAGCAUCUUUGUUGAGUUUGAGUUUUGUGUCUAUCAUUUUAUAGGUUUUUGCAUCUUGAAAAUUCUCAAGUAUACAAGCANNNNNNNNNNNNNNNNNNNNNNNNNNNNNNNNNNNNNNNNNNNNNNNNNNNNNNNNNNNNNNNNNNNNNNNNNNNNNNNNNNNNNNNNNNNNNNNNNNNNNNNNNNNNNNNNNNNNNNNNNNNNNNNNNNNNNNNNNNNNNNNNNNNNNNNNNNNNNNNNNNNNNNNNNNNNNNNNNNNNNNNNNNNNNNNNNNNNNNNNNUCUUACUCUAAAGUCUAUAUUAAUCGGUUAGGAUUAGUAUAGUGGGCGGUGUUGUAUCCGCUUAGCAAAGUCUAAGUUAUCUAGGGGUGAUAGCUUAGUGGGCAGUGUUGUAUCUGCUUAGGCUCAUCUAAGUAAUAGGAUAUAUUACUUAGUGUGGAGAUUAGUAGGUUAAUCUCAUUUUGUAAACUGGCUUUUACUUUUGCUUUGAGAAGAUUAGUGGAAGCAGUUUGAAAAGUCCUGGCAGGCCAGGUCGUGGUUUUACUCCCUUGAGCAAGGAGGUUUCCACGUAAAGUUGUUGUGCAAUCUUUACUUUCCGCACUUUGUUUAUUUUCUGUUAUUGUAACUGUGCUGAGGACCUGGUCCCAUCUAGACUAGUGGACACAUACAUUCCAACAAGAUCUGUUGGGGUAUUUCUGGUUAGUGUAAUUUGGCUGGUUUCCCCACUCUUGUUAAUUUGUUUGGAAAAUGGCUGAUUGUGAUAAGAGAGCUCAAAGUUCUAAAGUUGUUACAUCUGACACCAUGAUUUGGUUCGGAGAGCAAUUUCCUAAUUUAUCCCAAUAUCAUAAAUUACUUAAAGAAAUCUGAUACAGGUAAGGCUUUUGCUAAGUUGUAUAAAACGUGUUAUGUCACCUCUUCAA
rnacentral:lncRNA from 1 species